CGUGAUUUAAUGUUUUCUCUAGCUCAGUGAGCUGUUUUCAAUAUGAUUCUAGAAGUAAAAAUGAAGUGUGUGUAUGGUUCUAGCUAAGUUUGUUGUGAUUUGGGUGAGUUUUGUUGAGUCUAUUAGGCUCCAACAAGUGUGAUAAUCCUUUAUGUUGAAUUUGAGACUACUUGGUCACAAAGUUCACGAGGCUUCCCGUUUCUAUUUGUCCUGCAAUAUGCUUUGGAAGUGUACAGACUUUUCUAUUCCUUGGAAAUCUGGAAUGAGCUCUAUGUUACACUUUCUAAACAGAGUUAUUUAUCUUUUGUUUUUCAGCGGAGAUAGGAUCAUUUAUCUUGCUUCUCUAUGGGCCUAUGUUAUGGUGCCUUUAGGGUCAUAUUUGAGUCUAGUCUUGUCCCCUUCUGCUAAUACUUUAUUUAUUCCGCAAGUCAUACUUUCUUAACUCCUGUUUCAUACUACAAUAAUCAUGCUUUUAUCUCCUGUUUCAUACUACAAUAAUCAUGCUUUUAACUCCUGUUUCAUACUACAAUAAUCAUACUUUCUUAACUCCUGUUUCAUGAAAAAUUGUGACCAAAUAAUUGCUCUGUUUACGUUUUCAAAAUGACACUCUCAUUUUUUGAAUAAUGCAGAGACUGGAUUCUCAUAAGAGGAAUAGAAAGAAAGAAUAACAUAUACUAGUACACCAAAUUCAAGCACACAGAUAAAAGCAUGAUUAUAUAUAAAACUUUCAGUAAAUUUUCCUCCCAAAUGUCAGAACUGUAUAUAGUUAAAAUUAAAAUAAAAACCCAUAAGAAAUCGAACACAAAUUCGUUCCUUUCGACCGAAUCGGAUGAGGGAAUGGGGUUUGGCUUUUUGUUUUGGAAUACCCAUAAAAAACUGAAACAGUCUUGGAGACAUACCAGGAUUUAGGGCUCGUUUUGGAAGCCCUAAAUGAUUUUGCGCUGUACCAGGAUCUGAGGGACGGGGUCGAGUCAAUCGAGGUAUGCUGGAUUUUCCGGAUGAAGAAGAACCCUAGUUUGCGUCUUCAGUUGAGAGAAAUAGAAGGGGAGAAAAAAAGUAGAUGCCGG
rnacentral:lncRNA from 1 species